rnacentral:rRNA from 1 species
GAUGAACGCUGGCGGCGUGCUUAACACAUGCAAGUCGAACGGAAAGGCCGAAGCUUGCUUCGGUACUCGAGUGGCGAACGGGUGAGUAACACGUGGGUGAUCUGCCCUGUACUUCGGGAUAGGCUUGGGAAACUGGGUCUAAUACCGGAUAUGACGAUCUCUUGGAUGGGGUUGUGGAAAGCUUUUGCGGUAUGGGAUGAGCUCGCGGCCUAUCAGCUUGUUGGUGGGGUAAUGGCCUACCAAGGCGUCGACGGGUAGCCGGCCUGAGAGGGUGUACGGCCACAUUGGGCCUGAGAUACGGCCCAGACUCCUACGGGAGGCAGCAGUGGGGAAUAUUGCACAAUGGGCGCAAGCCUGAUGCAGCGACGCCGCGUGGGGGAUGACGGCCUUCGGGUUGUAAACUCCUUUCGCAAUCGACGAAGCCUUUUGGUGACGGUAGGUUGAGAAGAAGCACCGGCUAACUACGUG